CCUACGGGAGGCAGCAGUGAGGAAUAUUGGUCAAUGGCCGCGAGGCUGAACCAGCCAAGUAGCGUGAAGGAUGACUGCCCUACGGGUUGUAAACUUCUUUUAUAGAGGAGCAAAGCGAGUCACGUGUGACUCAUUGAGAGUACUUGAUGAAUAAGCAUCGGCUAACUCCGUGCCAGCAGCCGCGGUAAUACGGAGGAUGCGAGCGUUAUCCGGAUUUAUUGGGUUUAAAGGGUGCGUAGGUGGGUGGUUAAGUCAGGGGUUAAAUUUCGGGGCUCAACCCUCGAAUGCCCUUUGAUACUGGAUCCCUUGAGUGCAGGUGAGGUAUGCGGAAUGCGUGGUGUAGCGGUGAAAUGCAUAGAUAUCACGCAGAACUCCGAUUGCGAAGGCAGCCUAC
rnacentral:rRNA from 1 species